GGAGGUAGUGACAAUAAAUCACAAUGCGGAACUUCUGUUUUGCAAUUGGAUUGAGAACAACGCACAACAUUUAUCGAUAAACAAUUGGAGGGCAAGUCUGGUGCCAGCAGCCGCGGUAAUUCCAGCUCCAAUAGCGUAUAUUAACGUUGUUGCAGUUAAAAAGCUCGUAGUUGAAGUGAAGUGUGAAUCUCUUGGAUUUUCGUUUGAAUUUCCUUUAGCUUCAUACUCUUUCCAAAUAGUUUGCAUGGGUAUUUACUUAUCUGUGUAUUGCAUUUGGUCAUUUACUGUGAGAAAAUUAGAGUGUUCGAAGCAUACGUUUGUUUGAAUACAUUAGCAUGGAAUAAUUCGAAAAGGCUUUCAUGUUCGAUUUGAUUGGUUUGUUCGUGAAGGCAAGAUUAAAAGGGACAGUUGGGGGUAUUCAUAUUCAAUAGUCAGAGGUGAAAUUCUCGGAUUUAUGGAAGAUGAACAAGUGCGAAAGCA
rnacentral:rRNA from 1 species